rnacentral:rRNA from 1 species
CAGUCGCCGCGGGAAUACGUAGGUGGCAAGCGUUGUCCGGAAUUAUUGGGCGUAAAGGGCUCGCAGGCGGUUUCUUAAGUCUGAUGUGAAAGCCCCCGGCUCAACCGGGGAGGGUCAUUGGAAACCGGGAAACCUGAGUGCAGAAGAGGAGAGUGGAAUUCCACGUGUAGCGGUGAAAUGCGUAGAGAUGUGGAGGAACACCAGUGGCGAAGGCGACUCUCUGGUCUGUAACUGACGCUGAGGAGCGAAAGCGUGGGGAGCGAACAGGAUUAGAUACCCCUGUAGUCCCUGUCUCUUAUAC